CUGCGAAUACCGGAGAAUGUUAUCACGGGAGACACACGGCGGGUGCUAACGUCCGUCGUGAAGAGGGAAACAACCCAGACCGCCAGCUAAGGUCCCAAAGUCAUGGUUAAGUGGGAAACGAUGUGGGAAGGCCCAGACAGCCAGGAUGUUGGCUUAGAAGCAGCCAUCAUUUAAAGAAAGCGUAAUAGCUCACUGGUCGAGUCGGCCUGCGCGGAAGAUGUAACGGGGCUAAACCAUGCACCGAAGCUGCGGCAGCGACACUGUGUGUUGUUGGGUAGGGGAGCGUUCUGUAAGCCUGUGAAGGUGUGUCGUGAGGCAUGCUGGAGGUAUCAGAAGUGCGAAUGCUGACAUAAGUAACGAUAAAGCGGGUGAAAAGCCCGCUCGCCGGAAGACCAAGGGUUCCUGUCCAACGUUAAUCGGGGCAGGGUGAGUCGACCCCUAAGGCGAGGCCGAAAGGCGUAGUCGAUGGGAAACGGGUUAAUAUUCCCGUACUUGGUGUUACUGCGAAGGGGGGACGGAGAAGGCUAUGUUGGCCGGGCGACGGUUGUCCCGGUUUAAGCGUGUAGGUGUGUGUUCCAGGUAAAUCCGGUUCACUUUAACACUGAGGCGUGACGACGAGGCACUACGGUGCUGAAGCAACAAAUGCCCUGCUUCCAGGAAAAGCCUCUAAGCAUCAGGUAACAUCAAAUCGUACCCCAAACCGACACAGGUGGUCAGGUAGAGAAUACCAAGGCGCUUGAGAGAACUCGGGUGAAGGAACUAGGCAAAAUGGUGCCGUAACUUCGGGAGAAGGCACGCUGACACGUAGGUGAAGUGAUUUACUCAUGGAGCUGAA
rnacentral:rRNA from 1 species